GGCCCUAUAUCUCUAUUUUUUAAGAACCUUAGUAAUCCAGGUACAUUCAGACUUUGAGGAACCAGAGCCUGGAAUUGCCUGGCCUUAAAGACUCAGCUCAUGGGACAUUGAGGAGAAGCUGGCAGUGCCCAGCAGAGCCGACCAACGAGUCCCAUAAAGGAAAGAAAGGCUUUGAAGAUCCUUACUCCUGAAUGGUGUCCCACCCAUCCUUAAGUCAGCUUUGAAACUAGGGAUGCAAUAUGCCGAAUCAACCUUACUCGAGAGCGGCUUUCUGAAGCUGGCAUAAGUAUCAGACAAAGGGCUGCUUUCCUGCCCUGCCACUGUCCCCUGGCUCCCCGAGAGCUCCUCAGUCACUCUUUCCAUCUGCAGAGGCCCCAGGAGGCAAUCAGCACAACAGCCUUGCCCCGUCCUUCAAUCCUCCUUGGAUUUGCUCCUGUUAUUCCUUCUCCCUGAAAUCUCUACCUCCCCACUCCAUCACCGCCUGUCAGAUUAUUUCCAUGAAUACCUGAUUUAAAUGGCAUUUCCUCCCUAAGCCAUUGUGACCGUCUAGGUCUGGAUUUUCCAGUCAUGUUCGGACUCCGUGCAUUCGGUUCCACUGUCAUGCUUUGAGGAAAGCUCAUGUGUGCUGAAGUUUUGGUUUUCACUCUGUUUGCUGCUCUCAGCGUCUUCACUUGGAGUUCAUAGUUCCCUCCUCCAUGCCCUCUGGCACUUUGGCUAUGUCUCUGUGUUGAUGAUAAUUCCUGGCCUCUUCUCUUUAAGAAGCAUCUGGGAUGGCCUCCGGCUCUGAAGCUGUCUUGAGGACAGGAGAAAUUUGGACACUGAGACACAAAAAGGGAGAACUCCAUGUGGACGGGAAGGCAGAGAUUCAAAUGAUGCAGCUACAAGCCAUGGAAUGCCAGAGAUUCCCAGGAAACCCCCAGAUGCUGGGAAAGAGGCAUGGAGCGGUGUCUCCCUCACAGCCCCCAGAAGGAACCAACACUGCAGACAGCUUGAUCUCAGCCUUCUGUCCUCCAGACUGGGAGACAAUAAAUUUCUGGUUUUCAAGCCA